rnacentral:rRNA from 1 species
CGGCGUAACACGUGAGCAACCUUCCGAAAUAUGGGGGAUAGCCGGCCUAACGGCCGAGUAAUACCGCAUACGCUCUCGAUGAGGCAUUUCAUUGAGAGGAAACCUCCGGGGUAUUUCGAGGGGCUCGCGGCCUAUCAGCUAGUUGGCGAGGUAACGGCUCACCAAGGCAACGACGGGUAGCUGGUCUGAGAGGAUGGCCAGCCACAUUGGGACUGAGAUACGGCCCAG